GACAGAGGGUGCAAACGUUGUUCGGAAUUACUGGGCGUAAAGCGCGUGUAGGCGGCUAAGUAAGUCGGGCGUGAAAUCCCACGGCUCAACCGUGGAAGUGCACUCGAAACUGCAUAGCUAGAGUCCUGGAGAGGAAGGUGGAAUGCUUGGUGUAGAGGUGAAAUUCGUAGAUAUCAGGAGGAACACCGGUGGCGAAGGCGGGUCUCUGGGCCGAUACUGACGCUGAGGAGCGAAAGCGUGGGGAGCGAACAGG
rnacentral:rRNA from 1 species